CUGGAGGAGAUCACCCAGCUAGUCAUGCUAGAGCACUUUUUCAAUGUGCUACCCAACAACAACGCAUUUGUAUGUCAAUCCAUAUCAACUUUCAAUGACAUUUACUGCGCCUACCAUGGUGAGAACGGGUAACUGUGAAUCAGGGUUCGAUUCCGUACAGGGACCCUGACAAAUGGCUACCACAUGCAAGGAAGGCAGCAGGCGCGCAAAUUACCCACUCCCGACACGGGGAGGUAGUGACGACAAAUAACAAUACAGGACUCUUUAGAGGCCCUAUAAUUGUAAUGAGUCCACUUGAAAUCCUUUAUCUCUGAUCAACUGGAGGGCAAGUCUGCCAUAAUGCUCCGC